rnacentral:rRNA from 1 species
AAUUCGAUGAUACGCGAAGAACCUUACCGGGGUUUGACAUGCAGGUGAUCGCCGUUGAAAGACGGUUUCCUCUUCGGAGGCACCUGCACAGGUGCUGCAUGGCUGUCGUCAGCUCGUGUCGUGAGAUGUUGGGUUAAGUCCCGCAACGAGCGCAACCCUUGUCAUUAGUUGCUACGAAAGGGCACUCUAAUGAGACUGCCGGUGACAAACCGGAGGAAGGUGGGGAUGACGUCAAGUCCUCAUGGCCCUUAUAGGUGGGGCUACACACGUCAUACAAUGGCUGGUACAAAGGGUUGCCAACCCGCGAGGGGGAGCCAAUCCCAUAAAGCCAGUCGUAGUCCGGAUCGCAGUCUGCAACUCGACUGCGUGAAGUCGGAAUCGCUAGUAAUCGUGGAUCAGCAUGUCACGGUGAAUACGUUCCCGGGUCUU